UGCGUAGGUGGCGCCGUAAGUCGGGUGUGAAAUUUCGGAGCUUAACUCCGAAACUGCAUUCGAUACUGCGGUGCUUGAGGACUGGAGAGGAGACUGGAAUUCAUGGUGUAGCAGUGAAAUGCGUAGAGAUCAUGAGGAAGACCAGUGGCGAAGGCGGGUCUCUGGACAGUUCCUGACACUGAGGCACCAAGGGGCCAGGGGAAGCAAACG
rnacentral:rRNA from 1 species